rnacentral:rRNA from 1 species
CCUACGGGUGGCUGCAGUGGGGAAUAUUGCUCAAUGGGCGAAAGUCUGAUGCAGCAACGCCGCGUGAGCGAUGAAGGCCUUCUGGUCUGUAAGCUCUUUCCUUAAGGAAGUUAAUGACUGUACGUGAGGAGGAAUCUCCGGCUGACUACGUGCCAGCAGCCGCGGUAAUACGGGGGAUGCAAGCGUUAUCCGGAGUUAUUGGGUUUAAAGGGUGCGUAAGCUGUGAGGUAAGUCAGCGGUGAAAUGCCCCCGCUCAACGGGGUGAAUUGCCAUUGAUACUGCCUUGCUGGAGUGCGGAUGCGGUGGGAGGAAUGUGUGGUGUAGCGGUGAAAUGCAUAGAUAUCACACAGAACACCGAUUGCGAAGGCAUCUCACGAAUCCGCGAUUGACGCUGAUGCACGAAAGCGUGGGUAUCAAACAGGAUUAGAUACCCCAGUAGUC